UACGUAGGGCGCAAGCGUUAUCCGGAAUUAUUGGGCGUAAAGAGCUCGUAGGCGGUUUGUCGCGUCUGCCGUGAAAGUCCGGGGCUCAACUCCGGAUCUGCGGUGGGUACGGGCAGACUAGAGUGAUGUAGGGGAGACUGGAAUUCCUGGGUGUAGCGGUGAAAAUGCGCAGAUAUCAGGAGGAACACCGAUGGCGAAGGCAGGUCUCUGGGCAUUAACUGACGCUGAGGAGCGAAAGCAUGGGGAGCGAACAGG
rnacentral:rRNA from 1 species